rnacentral:lncRNA from 1 species
GGACAACUAUAGAAGUUGUUUGACAAUUGAAUAGUAGUUGUCGGGACAACUAAUGAUAGUUGUUUGACAACUGCAUGCAUGUUGUGGAACUGUGUACAGUUGGGUGAAGGAUAUGGGGGUUAUUAUAGUGGUAUAAUACAUACCAGCGGUCGGAGUUCUUCUCUAAACGAUUAGAAAAGAGAGAAAUUGAAUUUCUCAGGGAAACAUUGGCCGGCCCUUGAUGUGCAUGCAAGCAGAAAACAUGUCCACAAGAUGCUACGUGAUGAUAUUGCUGCAUACGGUGGUCACACCACCGCUCCUCCUAAUGACCUAUUUAAAUUCUCCCCUUCCCUCCAGGUGAAGAGAAUCGGAGGCAAAGGGAUGAUAUCUGUGUAAUAUCGGGUUAACCAAUCUUGUCAUCUCCGAUGGAGGCUCAAAUGGGGCAAAGUCCAGCUCCUAUGGAAGGAACUUUACUUGUUUCUACUCUAUUAGAACAAGACAGAGAAGCCUCACCACUAGCUGUUUUUUUAUGGGAAAACAAGUCUUCAGAUAUGCUUUCUCAAGCAUCUGAAUUUUCACAAAAUUGUGUUGAGUCAGAGUUCUAUUUUCCUUCUUCUAUGAUUUCUUUUGACAACGAACCUGAGAUUCUGGUAGCUCCAAUUUGGCCCUCACUGAACAUGGUUCAUGAGUGUGUUUAUU